AUUGAACGCUGGCGGCAGGCCUAACACAUGCAAGUCGAGCGAGUGGCGGACGGGUGAGUAAUGUCUGGGUAACUGCUCGAUGGCGGGGGAUAACUACUGGAAACGGUCGCUAAUACCGCAUUCCCUCGGUUGUUCCUACAUGGGAUUGGCUAGUAGGUGGGGUAAUGGCUGACCUAGGCGACGAUCCCUAGCUGGUCUGAGAGGAUGACCAGCCACACUGGAACUGAGACACGGCCCAGACUCCUACGGGAGGCAGCAGUGGGGAAUAUUGCACAAUGGGCGCAAGCCUGAUGGAGCCAUGCCGCGUGUAUGAAGAAGGCCUUAGGGUUGGAAAGUACUUUCAGCGAGGAGGCGUUACUCGCAGAAGAAGCACGGGCUAACUCCGUGCCAGCAGCCGCGGUAAUAC
rnacentral:rRNA from 1 species